UAAAUAUAGCACAUGGAAAAGGUAGUCUGAUGAACAUAAUCCAGUCAGUUCAAAUCAGUUCUGUUAUAGUAGGCCACCAAGCAGCACUUGCGUUCUCUUGGUUUCAUAUUUACAACUCUCUCUUCACUGAAUCUUAGCCUCUCCAAUAUCACAGUUGAAACAUAAAUGUAAAAUUCUGUUUAACUUAACAUGCGCGCGAACUCAAGUUUAAUAUAUUUGUGACACAUAAAUAUUCAUAAGAUAAAACGUCUAAACAUUUUUACUAUACUCAUAGUAAUCCUAUGAAUUGCUUAAUGAAAAGAAAAAAAACAGUCAUAGUUCCAAAAUUAUUGUGAGAAUAAUAAUAAUCAUGGUCUGUGUGAAUGUUUUUGAUUGACAAGAAAUGUAUAAUAAUUUAUAGAUAUAAUAAUCAAUUAUAAGCGUCAAUUAUCUCUAAAGUGAAAAUUUGAUUUUGAACAAUAAGAUUUUAGAAUUUAAAAUUUAACAGUGUAAACUUUUUAUUGAAUUUUAAUCCACUAUUAAUCUCUCAAAGAAAUGUUGCUUAUUUUAUAUAGUGAUAUAGGUGACGUUUGCGAAUGAAUAUAUAUUAAAUAACAGUUAAAGUGAGAUCGCUUUUGAUUUUGCGAUGUUUAACAAACUUAUUUGUUUACUUUAUUUAUUUUUGUCAACCUAUUUUUUCGAUUCUCAUGUUAAUGCAAAGAGAUGGUCACCAGUUAUGGACGAAUCGUUAGACGAACGUCAUGACGCAGAGAUUUUUCGAGCUGUAUUUGAAUCAAUGAAACAGUGGGAAUCACACAAAAAAACUUCGUUCCGAACAAAAAGAGAAAUAUCUAGAGUAUGUUAUGAAGAUGUAGGUUGUUUCGAGGAUACUGGACCUUUUAGCUAUUUAGAAAUGCUUCCAUCACCGCCUAAAGAUGUUGGUACUAGAUUCUUUGUUUAUGGAAGUCGAAAAGCAAGAUCGGUACCCAUGGAAGUUUCUGCUGAUGAUAUAAAUACGAUAGAAAAAAACGCUAUUGAUCCUGAACUUCCGACGAAAAUAAUUGUGCACGGUUUCGGAUCUGAUUGUGAUAAUAUUUGGGUAUAUGAAAUGCGAUCUGCACUUAUGUCAGUACAUGAUUGUAACAUCGUAUGUGUCGACUGGAGCCCUGGUAGUGCAAUACCAAAUUAUGUGAGAGCAGCAGCAAAUACGAGGCUUGUAGGAAGACAAUUAGCAAAAUUUAUACGAAGUCUUAAUGUACCUCUGAAUAAAGUUCAUAUGAUUGGAUUUAGUUUGGGUGCACAUGUAGCAGGUUUUGCUGGUGCAGAGCUAGCUAAUGUCUCCAGAAUCACCGGUCUUGAUCCCGCAGGACCUCUAUUUGAAACUCAAGAUCCACUAGUAAGGUUGGAUAAUAUGGAUGCUCAUUUUGUUGACGUGAUACACAGUAAUGGUGAACAAUUAAUUCUCGGUGGUUUAGGAUCGUGGCAACCAAUGGGUGACGUUGACUUUUAUCCUAAUGGUGGACGAAUGCAAACAGGGUGUUCCAAUUUGUUUCUGGGUGCAGUAUCCGAUUUCAUUUGGUCUAGCUCAAUUGAAGGAAGAUCACUUUGUAAUCACCGACGAGCAUACAAACUUUUUACUGACUCGGUGAGUCCAAAAUGCCGUUUUCCGGCGUUUCCAUGUGAAAAAGGCUAUGACGGCUUGUUACAAGGUGAAUGUUUUCCUUGUGGUCCUGAUAGGCUGUGUGGUGAUAUGGGUUAUUACAGUGAUACUUCAAGUGCUCGAGGACAGUUGUAUUUAAUAACUCGAGAAGAAGAACCGUUUUGCGCUCUUCAGUAUCAAAUAAAAGUAUUUAAUAGCCAUAGAAAAAGACCUACAAAAAGUUACGGGAAGUUACAAAUCACGCUAGUUGGUUCUGGUUCUUUAAAUGAGACUUUCACUAUGACGCGAAAGGAUGAUGAAGAACUUUUAGUCGGAACUAUCCUUCAUAAAAUUGUUGUACCUCACCCAGUGGUCGUUAACUUGAAAGCAGUCGAGAUAAAAUAUACCGCUUACAGUGGGUGGAUUUCAUCGGGUCUCGUUUCAUGGAACAUUGACAAAGUUUCCGUUGUUGAUAGCUUCGGUAGAAGCAUUUCUGUUUGCAAGAAAAAUCUUGCUCUUGAAUCGGGGCAUUCCGUUUAUUUGUUACUUUAUCCCGGUGAAUGCAACAUUCCACUGGAAUCCGAUAAUUAUACUUCGAUUGAUAGUAGUUUCCUUUUGCCAGAAUCAACAACCGCAGAAGUAAAUGCAAUAAAAAAAACUUUCGAUGUAAAAAUCGAGCCAAGUAAUAUCGGACCUUUCACAAAAAACCAAAAUUUCGAGCCAGCAAAUAGGUAUUCAGUUCUAACAUUUUCGAGUGAAAAUAGUAAUUCACAGAGGAACUUCGGUCCAUUUACAAAAGAUCAAAAUUUAAAGAUGUCAUUGAUUGAUGAUACAAAUUCUUCAAGUCAUCAUCAGGAUCAAAGAUCAGUCAAGAAUGAUAGUAGUAAAGAUAAUUCAAAUUUUUGGCUCUUUGCCGAUGUCAAUGAUACUGGAUUGAAUUUAUUGGAAAACCCAGUAGUAGAAAGUGGAAGAGGAUUUUCUGGUGCUGAAUAUAUUCUUUCUACUUCUACAAGUUCUACGGUGCCCACAGACUCAAUACCGUCUGUCGAAUUUCAUAGUGAAAUACAUGAACCAGUAUUACAAAUCAAUAAACAUGAAACUGGUAGAUCAAUGCGGCUACCGGAGAUAACAGAGCCACUUCUAAGACCACGUAUAACAAAGAAUAUCAAAGUUACUGAGAAUUCGGAAACGACUGAAAAGAACCUAGAACAUAGUUGUUCGGACUGUGGAAAUGAAGACAAUGCACAAAAAGGAUUUACUGUCCAAUUUUUACCAGAAAGACUUGCAAAUAUUCUAGAGCAAGCAGAACGGUACGCACGGCGAACAUUUCUCCCUCUGAUAUCACAAUAUACCCCAAGCUUCAUUGAUGGACAACAAGAAAACCUUAAAUACUUUCCUUCGUUGAUUAAUGCUUCAGAAAAAAAUGGUUCAAUCUCCAGUUAUGACUUCCACCCUACAUCAAUAACUAAUGAAUAUAUCCACGAGGAUUCCCAAAAUACAAAAGAAAUUAAAGCCUUAAAUCAAUCAGAAAAGGAUGUUAAUUUUAACUCUCUUAGUACAACAAAUUCUACCAUUACUAUGCUAUCUAAAUCAGAAUCAUACAAAAUACCUACAAAUAGUAGUUAUAAUGACAGUAGCUUUCACAGUUCACGAAAUUUUAAGUCCAUAGAACAAUCAAAUAAUUGGGUGCCUGUAAAUAGAAGCUCGUCAAAUGGUGGAUCCAUAAAAUCUAACCCCGUUGAUUUUCGACCGUUAGAAAGUCAUGAAGAGAAAUGGGUAAAUAAAGUUAUCGAUACUAGAAUGUUACAGAUAAAUGAAACAUCAUUAUCUAACAAUGAUUAUAAUAAUAAAAGUAGUGAAAGUAGUAGUAUUAGUAUUCAUAAUAAAAACGAUAAUAAUAAUAGCUAUAACAAUGCUACUAGUGCUACUACUACUACUACUAAUAAUAAUAAUAAUAAUAAUAAUAAUAAUAACCCUUUGACAAAAAAUAUAGGUGAUGAUAUAUAAUAAGAUGUGAUAAUAUAUGAAUCAUAUAUUACUUAUGACUUGGGUGUUAAAUUUAUAUAGAGUUUGAGUCAGCCAUGUUGACAUUAGUUUUUGUACGCCAUUUUAGGCACGUGAUCUUAUUUGAUAAUUUAAAACUAGAUUUCGUAUACUUUUGCAAAAUUCAUAUUGUGUAUAGUGUAAGUGAAUUCUUUGAAUAAUUCGAGUUAAUAAAAUUGUCAAUUGAUUAAUUGUUAAUUCUAAAAGUAGUGAAUACAGAUGAUCAAAUUUUUAUCCUUCAACUGUUUGUUCCUAGUGACUACUAAGUUGGUAGAUACUUGACCUUCAGUCUUUUUAUAUGAGCUCGCUCAACCUGUUGACUCAGUAUCAAGAAACGGAUAUUGUCAUCCCAGCAAGAGAUUGGACUUCGGAUGUCGUCGGUUUUCAUUCCCACUCUGGAUGUUUUACGUCUUAAAUGUUCUCCCACUUUUCUGUACGCAUACACAUUUCAUAAAAAAUGUUCGGUAGUGGGGACAAUUUCCGAGGUCUAUUCUUUAAGAGAAUUUCUCUUACUGGGACCACAAUACAACUGUAAAUAAUCAAAAACUUCUUCGUCACCUAACAUAAAAUCAUUGGCGAUCGCACCAUUAUGAUCAUUACUUGAAAGUGUAGGCCAUCUAGUCACACUAAAAAGUCCCGGUUAUAAUGAAUUGUACAUUGGUAAUCAAAUUUGAACUUUUCUUCAAUUUAUCUACACGUAUGCAUAUAUGCCCUAUAAAUGAACAUAUGUUGAUAUGUAUGAACAUACAUCCCGAGAAAAAAAAAAUUUAUGAUCAGAUAUGAAUUGCAUUUGAUCAUAUGUGGUCAUAUGCAAAUAAAAUAUGCCUGUAUCUGAAAACGUAUGAAUCCUAAAAUAAGCAUCAUAUAUGAACAUAAAUGAUUCUUUGUUAACAAUUAAUUUCUUAUUAAAAAAUAACGUAAAAUUGGAACUGGUUAAAAUUAUAAUUGAAAACUUGCUACUUUUAAUAAUGAAUAAAAAAAAACAAACCUCAAGUUCAAAAUUUUACUUUGUUAAUUUCUUUAAAAUAACCAAAAAUUACUCUAUAAAAAAGAAGUCGAACUUCUGAAAUAUGAUAUAAAAUAUCAAUAUACUCAUGAGUGUAAAUGUAACUGACAAGUGGCAAUUUAUGAAAUUUUCAAAUAAAUAAAUAAAAUGUAAAUAGAAUAAAAAUUAACUAAUGUGUGUUUAAAUUAAUGAAAAAUUAGUACGCGCAUUUUUUUAGAUUUCAUUAUUUUAAUUAAUUAAUUUAUUUAUUUAUUUAAAAUUUAUGAAUUGUCUGAUGUCUGCUACAUUCACUCAUAAUAUACCCUACCCUGAUAGCCACACUCUAAAGAUACCCUGAUAGCCACACCUUGCUCAGCAAAGUUCUGCAGUGAAACAAUUCCGGCUAACGACAAGUUUCUGGCAAACCUUGGCUGAAUAAUACUUUCCUUUACGUUGGCUUCAGAAAACGGCAGUAGCUUGAAGUUAACUUGCAGUUCAGGUGGCUAUCAGGGUUGAAGUGAAACUUUCAAUCAACUUAACGUCAUUGUCUGACAGUAACACUUGUAGUCAAAUUGAAUUCAAGUUUUACUUUUAUAAUUUACUGUCAACUUAAAGGUAACUGCUUGCUCUCCACCACUUUCCCAGAUAGCAAAAUGACGUCUUGAUGAGUUCUGAAUGAAUUCCUAUUUCUGAUUUGGACGUCUCAUCAACAUCUUAAAGAAGUCUGUAAGAAGUUCGUAAGAUGUCGAAUGAGCUACCUGGUGAACUCAGUAAGACGUCUUUAAAAAGAGUUCUCAAAGAGUUCUUUUUUCUGACUUCGCAAAUAAGACUUCAGUAUGAAUUUACCAUGACGUCUUUAAGGAGCUUCUAAUUUUGAGUUCAUAAAGAAGUUUAAACAAGAAUAUAUUUAGUCGUCACAAAACUGACGUCUUAUUUAUGGACUUUUCAAGAACUCUCAAUUAAGAGUUCUUAAAAAUGACACCUUUAGUCAUUACAAGACUUCUUGAGGACGCCUUCAAAAAGACGUCGUAAAGCAGUCAUUCCGACUUGAAUGCUGUCUAGGUUCCUUUAAGUUGGCUUAAGAAUACGGCAGUAGUUUGUAGUUAAUUUACGGUUAGGGUGGCUAUCAGGGUAAUUGCUCAGCAAGUUCUGCAGUGAAACAUUUUCGGCUUACUUAACGACAAGUUUUUGGUAAGCCUCGGCUGGAUAAUACUUGCGUGCAAGUUGAUGCAAAUCUACUGCCGUCAUCUGAAUGUAAUUUGGCAGAAAAACUUGCCGUCAAUUUGAAGUGAAACUGCCAAUCAACUUAACGUACUUCUAGUAGCUACUUUAGCUUGAAAUUGACGGUAAUUUGAUGUUGAAAUUACCUGAAAUUUGUUGCUUGAAUUUGCCGACAAUUUGUCAGCAAAAGUUGAAAAUAAAAAUUUGCGGUUAAUUUUUCUUCAAUUUAAAGGUGUAACUUUUUACGAAAAAAAAAAAGUCGGUAAUGUUCAUUCUUACCAUUUCAGAAGGUAAGCAAAUUUAUACGUAAAAUUGUCUAAAAUUGACAACUUUUUUCUAGUCAACUUUAGAAGUGAAUUUGCAUUCUAAUUCGAGAAAGUAAAUUUACGUGAAAUUGUAGAGGAAGUUGCAUACAAAUUGUCGUAAAAAACGGAAAAGUCCGAAGUUGACAGAGAUUUGACGAAAAAUUCAAGGAAACUUUUGUAAAGUAAACUUUUGCUAAAGCAAACUGUGCUAUUAGGGGUCAUUGUCUGACGGUAACACUUGUAGUCAAAUUGAAUUCAAGUUACAGACAAUUUACUGUCAACUCAAAGGUAACUGUUUGCACUCCAACACUUUCCUUUUAAUUGGCUUCAGAAUACCGCCGUAGCUUGAAGUUAACUUGUGGUUAAGGAGGCUAUCAGGGUAGUUGGCAAUAGUUAGUCGUCAAAUUGAAGAAAAAAUUUCUAGUGAGCCAAUCUGGUUAUUUGUGGAGUAAAGUAGUUUCUUUGUCAAGUUAUAGAGGCAGCACCACUGCCUACGCGGGUACUCGUUUUUAACUAUAAUUCUAGAAAAAUAUACAGUUUAGUUGUGUCCUAAAUAAUAAACAAAAUUGACAUGACUUGACAAGUAAAAAUUCCAUUGAAUAAAUAUGGUUUGAAAUAAAGAUUAAUUAUUGUCGAGAUGGGUUAUCAGUUAUUUUAGUCAAAGCAUUUCUCAAACAAAAAUUUUUAACGCAAAAUAAAGCUCGAUGCAAUUUUCUAUAAUCUAAUGAUCUACAUUUUCAUUUUUUUUAAUUUUCUGUUUGAUCAAGAGAAACGUGGAAAAAGUUUCUAUUUACUGUAUAAGUGCAAGAAGGAUAGUACAAUUCGUCCAUUUGAGUGCGGAAGCGAAAAAAGUGGCAACUCCUUAAAGUAUAAUAAAUCCAAAUCGGAAUGCAGUUCUAGUGUCGUAGUCCACAAAUACUCAGAAAUGUUGUACAAGAACGCACACGGUCCAUAUUGUAUAAACAUACAAAGUAAUAAAGAACAAUAGAACAGAAUUUGUAAUUUUACUCUAAAUUGUCUACAUUUACGUAUGUCGUGAAUGGCUUGUUCAUGAAGAUGGUGCGUUAGCAUACCGUCUGCAGGAUAAAGAAAGUACGUAUUUUAGUUAAAGAACAUUAUUCUGGUAAUAAAGUUCGAAAUGCUCAAGUUAGAGAAGACUUACCACGAGCUAAGAUCGAACAACAACUUGAAGAAUUGAAAUAUCACUCACUUAUACAACAGCAGUAAG